rnacentral:rRNA from 1 species
GACGAACCGUGCGAACGUUGUUCGGAAUCACUGGGCUUAAAGGGCGCGUAGGCGGGCGAUCAAGUCAGGGGUGAAAUCUUUCGGCUCAACCGGAAAACAGCUUCUGAUACUGGUCGUCUUGAGUGAGGUAGGGGCAUGUGGAACUUCCGGUGGAGCGGUGGAAUGCGUAGAUAUCGGGAGGAACACCAGUGGCGAAGGCGGUUGCCUGGAGCUUUGCUGACGCUGAGGCGCGAAAGCGUGGGGAGCGAUCCGG